UUUAACUUUUUUAAAUUAUUACAACCAAGAGCUUAAACAGGCAAACGAACAUGGCAAAAAGUGGACAUUGUAAAGGCUGUAGGAACGGCGCCGUGUCUCUCUUUACCGAUUAGCCUGCUGAUUUGCUCGAAUGGGCAUUGAAACCCGAGCUCUCUCUCUCUCUCUCUCUCUCUCUCUCUCCCCGCAUCUCUCUGAUUUUGUAUAUUCCUGAAAACUCAGAUAAUUCCCGGCAUACGAACAACCCUAGCAAUCGUAUACCUCAAUUUCUUUCUCCAAAAAAAGAAAAAAGAAAAAUUGAAAUUCCGAGAAAUAAGAAACACAAAACCAAGCUCAAUGAAACUGCCACAGCGAGGGAAAGAUAUAAAAAAAUAGUUGAAACACAUCGCAGAUCUGUUUUUUGUGGUGUAAUUUCGUCUUAUGAAUAAACAAUCGGGUCAGCGGAGCCUUUAAAUACAAGGCCUAAAGUCACAGAUUUGGAGUCUUAUGCGCAAUUAUUGCUUCAUAGAUUUUUUU